CAGUAGGGAAUCUUCCACAAUGGGCGCAAGCCUGAUGGAGCAACACCGCGUGAGUGAAGAAGGGUUUCGGCUCGUAAAGCUCUGUUGUUAGAGAAGAACGUGCGUGAGAGCAACUGUUCACGCAGUGACGGUAUCUAACCAGAAAGUCACGGCUAACUACGUGCCAGCAGCCGCGGUAAUACGUAGGUGGCAAGCGUUAUCCGGAUUUAUUGGGCGUAAAGCGAGCGCAGGCGGUUUGAUAAGUCUGAUGUGAAAGCCUUUGGCUUAACCAAAGAAGUGCAUCGGAAACUGUCAGACUUGAGUGCAGAAGAGGACAGUGGAACUCCAUGUGUAGCGGUGGAAUGCGUAGAUAUAUGGAAGAACACCAGUGGCGAAGGCGGCUGUCUGGUCUGCAACUGACGCUGAGGCUCGAAAGCAUGGGUAGCGAACAGGAUUAGAUACCCUGGUAGUCCAUGCCGUAAACGAUGAGUGCUAGGUGUUGGAGGGUUUCCGCCC
rnacentral:rRNA from 1 species